AUGAACGCUGACAGAAUGCUUAACACAUGCAAGUCUACUUGGACUUCGGUUUGGGUGGCGGACGGGUGAGUAACGCGUAAAGAACUUGCCUCACAGUUAGGGACAACAUUUGGAAACGAAUGCUAAUACCUGAUAUUAUGAUUUUAGGGCAUCCUAGGAUUAUGAAAGCUAUAUGUGCUGUGAGAGAGCUUUGCGUCCCAUUAGCUAGUUGGAGAGGUAACGGCUCACCAAGGCGAUGAUGGGUAGCCGGCCUGAGAGGGUGAACGGCCACAAGGGGACUGAGACACGGCCCUUACUCCUACGGGAGGCAGCAGUGGGGAAUAUUGGACAAUGGACCAAAAGUCUGAUCCAGCAAUUCUGUGUGCACGAUGACGUUUUUCGGAAUGUAAAGUGCUUUCAGUUGGGAAGAAAAAAAUGACGGUACCAACAGAAGAAGUGACGGCUAAAUACGUG
rnacentral:rRNA from 1 species